UACGGGGGGGGUAAGCGUUGUUCGGAAUUACUGGGCGUAAAGGGCUCGUAGGCGGCCAACUAAGUCAUACGUGAAAUCCCUCAGCUUAACUGGGGAACUGCGUGUGAUACUGGAUGGCUUGGAUUUGGGAGAGGGAUGCGGAAUUCCAGGUGUAGCGGUGAAAUGCGUAGAUAUCUGGAGGAACACCGGUGGCGAAGGCGGCAUCCUGGACCAAUAUUGACGCUGAGGAGCGAAAGCCAGGGGAGCAAACGAG
rnacentral:rRNA from 1 species